rnacentral:rRNA from 1 species
GUCCACGCUGUAAACGAUGGGCACUAGGUGUCCGGGGUAUUGACCCCUUGGGUGCCGCAGCUAACGCAUUAAGUGCCCCGCCUGGGGAGUACGGUCGCAAGAUUAAAACUCAAAGGAAUUGACGGGGGCCCGCACAAGCGGUGGAGCAUGUGGUUCAAUUCGACGCAACGCGAAGAACCUUACCUGGGCUAGACAACGGCGGACCGUCCUAGAAAUAGGACUUUCCCUUCGGGGACUGCAGGUUCAGGUGCUGCAUGGCUGUCGU